GGGGAUGACGUCAAAUCAUCACGGCCCUUACGUCCUGGGCUACACACGUGCUACAAUGGCGCAUACAGAGUGCUGCGAACUCGCGAGAGUAAGCGAAUCACUUAAAGUGCGUCGUAGUCCGGAUUGGAGUCUGCAACUCGACUCCAUGAAGUUGGAAUCGCUAGUAAUCGCGUAUCAGCAAUGACGCGGUGAAUACGUUCCCGGACCUUGUACACACCGCCCGUCAAGCCAUGGAAGCUGGGGGUGCCUGAAGUCGGUAACCGCAAGGAGCUGCCUAGGGCAAAACUAGUAACUGGGGCUAAGUCGGAACAAGGUAGCCG
rnacentral:rRNA from 1 species